UUUAUAAAUAGCGAUCAGCCGGGCCUUUGGGGGGUUGUUUUGUUUUGGGGACCUGCAUGGGCAUAAAAAUUAGACUGCAACAGCCAAUCGCUAACUUUGGCGAAAAGGGGCCUGUAGCGGUUUGCUUUGGGAAGAAACUGGCGAUGGCCGCACCGUCUCCCCCUUUUCACCAGUCUCCAAUCACGAGCUCCAACGGUGUUUAAACUCGAGAGACAGUCAAGGAAUCACACAUUUAAGAGCUUUGCCAGCUGUUAUGAAAUGACUCGAUGUUUAGGGUAUGCAGCACAAGAGGUGACAUGAAACGCAAGUUAGGAUCACUGUGGUUAACCUGAGCAUGUUGGAAACCAAAGAGAGGCUGAAUGAAUAGGCUGCAGUGUAUCUUGAAAUGGCCGUCUUAUCCAUUGGGAGAGGUGCUAUCCAGACCCUGAGAAACCAAGGAAGAUAUUAAUAAAGCUGUGCUGAUUCCACACUGAAGUAAAUUAGAGUCCUGCAGGAUCCUAAGAUAAUGUCAA